rnacentral:lncRNA from 1 species
AGAAAAUGAAAGUGAGGAACCACAUACGUGGACCUUUAGAGUUAUUUAUCUACAUGCCCAACCUGGCAGCCUAAGCACAUCUCAGAGGCUGCAGGCCAUGUUUAUAAAGGAACCGGGCAGCUGAAGCAUGGACUGUAAGAGCUGGUUAAUUAUCAAUUUUUGUGAGAAAGGAAGGCUGUCCUCAUCUUUUGAAAGUCCUCCGAGCACAGCAGGCUAUGCAUGGUACGCCUCCAGUUUGUGAAAACAUCGGCAUCUGGAUGAACCCGACGAGUCAUCUGUGCCUUCUGCAUUGUGUCUCUGUGUGCCCUAAAACAGCACAAGCCAGCUGAACAUGUUCAGGUUUCAUCCCAUAGGACUUGGAAGACAGAACAGAGCAGAAGUCCCCUUUGACAACUUUUGGCUACUUUCUGCUGAGGGCUGAGGCCCCCAGCCUCCUGGUAUCCAGGGCACUGGCAGGAGUGGCAGCUGCACCUUCCAGUCCCCAGGAUCUCAGUUGUGAUGGUUCAUUCUAGAACUGAGGGGCUCAAGAGAUCCCUGCAUGGGCUGAAGGAGCAGGCUCCAGGCUGGGCUUUGGAGAUCAAGUCCCAGAACUCCACCACUGCUCAUUUCUUCUGCGAAGCUGCUCCCUCUGCCAUGGUCAGUAGGUAUGGGAGAGCAGGAGCUGUCAUUGGGCUUGCUGAAUUCACAGCUACAACCAAGGAUGGAAAAGCUACUACCAAACACCCACGAAGAUACUGGCCAGACCCACAUCCCUGCUGAUGAGCUUGUGCCACAUUUCUAG